GUGGGGAAUUUUGGACAAUGGGCGAAAGCCUGAUCCAGCCAUGCCGCGUGCAGGAUGAAGGCCUUCGGGUUGUAAACUGCUUUUGUACGGAACGAAAAGACUCCUUCUAAUAAAGAGGGCUCAUGACGGUACCGUAAGAAUAAGCACCGGCUAACUACGUGCCAGCAGCCGCGGUAAUACGUAGGGUGCGAGCGUUAAUCGGAAUUACUGGGCGUAAAGCGUGCGCAGGCGGUUAUAUAAGACAGAUGUGAAAUCCCCGGGCUCAACCUGGGAACUGCAUUAGUGACUGUAUAGCUGGAGUGCGGCAGAGGGGGAUGGAAUUCCGCGUGUAGCAGUGAAAUGCGUAGAUAUGCGGAGGAACACCGAUGGCGAAGGCAAUCCCCUGGGCCUGCACUGACGCUCAUGCACGAAAGCGUGGGGAGCAAACAGGAUUAGAAACCCGGGUAGUCC
rnacentral:rRNA from 1 species